rnacentral:rRNA from 1 species
AGUAACACGUAGUCAACCUAACCUGUGGACGUGGAUAAUCUCGGGAAACUGAGGAUAAACCACGAUAGAUAACGGUGGCUGGAAUGGCCCAUUGUCCAAACAGUUUACUGCCACGGGAUGGGACUGCGGCCUAUCAGCUUGUUGGUGAGGUAAUGGCCCACCAAGGCUAUAACAGGUACGGGCUCUGAGAGGAGAAGCCCGGAGAUGGGUACUGAGACACGGACCCAGGCCCUAUGGGGCGCAGCAGGCGAGAAACCUUAGCAAUGUGCGAAAGCACGACUGGGUCAGUCCGAGUGAUUUCUGAUAAAGGAAUCUUUUGCUAGUCCUAAAAGCACUAGCGAAUAAGGGGUGGGCAAGUCUGGUGCCA